AUUGAACGCUGGCGGCAGGCCUAACACAUGCAAGUCGAACGGUAACAGGAAACAGCUUGCUGUUUCGCUGACGAGUGGCGGACGGGUGAGUAAUGUCUGGGAAACUGCCUGAUGGAGAGGGAUAACUACUGGAAACGGUAGCUAAUACCGCAUAACGUCGCAAGACCAAAGAGGGGGACCCUCGGGCCUCUUGCCAUCGGAUUUGCCCAGAUGGGAUUAGCUUGUUGGUGGGGUAACGGCUCACCAAGGCGACGAUCCCUAGCUGGUCUGAGAGGAUGACCAGCCACACUGGAACUGAGACACGGUCCAGACUCCUACGGGAGGCAGCAGUGGGGAAUAUUGCACAAUGGGCGCAAGCCUGAUGCAGCCAUGCCGCGUGUAUGAAGAAGGCCUUCGGGUUGUAAAGUACUUUCAGCGGGGAGGAAGGGAGUAAAGUUAAUACCUUUGCUCAUUGACGUUACCCGCAGAAGAAGCACCGGCUAACUCCGCG
rnacentral:rRNA from 1 species